rnacentral:pre_miRNA from 1 species
GACUGGAUCGGACCUCCGCUGGUUUUUCCCGCGGUGAUAUUCCGAAGCAAGUGGUUAUCACCGGGUGAAAACUGGUAGAGGUCCGAUCCAGUC